rnacentral:rRNA from 1 species
AUUGAACGCUGGCGGAAUGCUUUACACAUGCAAGUCGAACGGCAGCACGGACUUCGGUCUGGUGGCGAGUGGCGAACGGGUGAGUAAUGUAUCGGAACGUGCCCAGUCGUGGGGGAUAACGUAGUGAAAAUCACGCUAAUACCGCAUACGAUCUAUGGAUGAAAGCGGGGGAUCGCAAGACCUCGCGCGAUUGGAGCGGCCGAUAUCAGAUUAGGUAGUUGGUGGGGUAAAGGCCCACCAAGCCAACGAUCUGUAGCUGGGCUGAGAGGACGGCCAGCAAUACUGGAACUGAGACACGGUCCAGACUCCUACGUGAGGCAGCAGUGGGGAAUUUUGGACAAUGGGCGUAAGCCUGAUCCAGCCAUUCCGCGUGCAGGAUGAAUGCCCUCGGGUUGUAAACUGCUUUUGUACAGAACGAAAAGGUUUCUACUAAUACUAGGAGCUCAUGACGGUACUGUAAGAAUAAGCACCGGCUAACUACGUGCCAGCCGCCGCCGCGG